rnacentral:pre_miRNA from 1 species
AGGGGAGCACUAGAUCCUGGGCUGUGUCCCCUGGCGCCCUGGGCUCCGGAGCCUGCGCUGCUGGAUCGCGCUCCCGGCCCGCAGCCCCCU